GACGAAGGGGGCUAGCGUUGUUCGGAAUUACUGGGCGUAAAGCGAGUGUAGGUGGUUGUCCAAGUUGGAUGUGAAAGCCUUGAGCUCAACUCAAGAAAUGCAUUCAGGACUGGGCGGCUAGGACGGACGGAGAGUAUGGUGAAUUCCCAGUGUAGUGGUGAAAUACGUAGAGAUUGGGAAGAACACCAGUGGCGAAGGCGGCUAUCUGGACGGUUUCUGACACUAAGACUCGAAAGCGUGGGGAGCAAACAGG
rnacentral:rRNA from 1 species